rnacentral:rRNA from 1 species
AUUGAACGCUGGCGGCAGGCCUAACACAUGCAAGUCGAACGAGUGGCGGACGGGUGAGUAAUGUCUGGGAAACUGCCUGAUGGAGGGGGAUAACUACUGGAAACGGUAGCUAAUACCGCAUACCAUCAGAUGUGCCCACAUGGGAUUAGCUUGUUGGUGGGGUAACGGCUCACCGAGGCGACGCUCCCUAGCUGGUCUGAGAGGAUGACCAGCCACACAGGAGCUGAGACACGGUCCAGACUCCGACGGGAGGCAGCAGUGGGAAAUAUUGAACAAUGGGCGCAAGCCUGAUGCAGCCAUGCCGCGUGUAUGAAGAAGGCAUGCGGGUUGUAAAGGACUUUCAGCGGAGAGGCGUUACCCGCAGAAGAAGCACCGGCUAACUCCGUGCCAGCAGCCGCGGUAAUAC